UACGUAGGGCGCAAGCGUUGUCCGGAAUUAUUGGGCGUAAAGAGCUCGUAGGCGGUUUGUCGCGUCGGCUGUGAAAACCUGGGGCUCAACCCCGGGCCUGCAGCCGAUACGGGCAAACUAGAAUUCGGUAGGGGAGACUGGAAUUCCUGGUGUAGCGGUGAAAUGCGCAGAUAUCAGGAGGAACACCGGUGGCGAAGGCGGGUCUCUGGGCCGAUAUUGACGCUGAGGAGCGAAAGCGUGGGGAGCGAACAGG
rnacentral:rRNA from 1 species